UGGCUCCCUCCCUUCCCUCAGGCCUUAGCCUCAGACCCUCAACCGUCAGAGCCACCGCACGGGUACGCCCUCACGGCCGCACGGGUACGCCCUCACCGGCUCACCCCUCAGCGUCUGCUCGGUCCUCCCGCAGCCGCACGGGCACGGCGGCUGGCGACCGCACGGGAGACGGCGCACGCGACACGCCCUCUUCCAUCCAGCGCCUCGACGGUUAACCGGCCUCGGCGCCUGGCCUCCCCGACCUCGCCCCUACAGUCGAGCUGACCUGCGCAGCUCGCCGAGGAAUCCAGUAGUGCAACUGCAACAGUGGACAAAUCCUUCAGGUGUGGAGACAGAUUGGCUCCUAUCGAAGAGGAUAUAAGCAUCUUAGCAAGCAGAGUAGGUUCCAACUGGUCCAACAAAAUGGAUAACAUGUGAGAGAGCAAGAUACCCCAACAGCUAGAUCUAUGUAUGUGAUGCCUAAAUUGGAACAACACAAAGCUUUUAAUUUUAGAGCCUCUGUUAUCAUAUUUUGCAUCUGAACCGCUAUUCUUGCAGUACUGCUUUCUUCUUGAUGGUGAAGUGGUAAUCUGGUGGUGAUAGAGUAAGAAUUUGUUCAAGUUGCCAUAGAAGCGAGAAAUGGUGUAAUGCUUGCUGGAUGUUGCUGAAUUGCUAUGCUGCCAUGAUUGACUAGGAUGCUGCUCUGCUCUUAUCGGGGAUACCUUUUAGAUGCCAUGCUUCAUUGUUUGGAUUAAUUCAAUGAAUAUAACCUUUGACACUAAAAAUUAUGCCUGCAUCAUCUUUGGUUUUGUUGAGUCCCUGAUCCAGUGAUCCUUGAGUUUCUGUGCAACAUAGAUCUAUGUAUGCGAUGCCUGAAUUGGAACAACGCAAAGCUUUUAAUUUCAGAGCCUCUGUCAUCAUAUUUUGCAUCUGUACCGCUACUUUUGUCUGUUUAUUACUGGUCAUGGGAGAUGAAUUUGGUUACUAUAUAUAACUGGGAGAUGAAUUUGGUUAUUACUGGUCAAGAUAUGCAAUUGCAUGUUUUUUUUGUUUGCUUCCACCUAGGCAUUGAUAAGGAAGAAGGUGCUUAGUAGCUUCGACUGUACUGCCCAAAUUCAGAUGGAUGAAUGAUACAAAUCAUUUAAGUCAGUGAGAUAUUUAUUUUUGUAAACUGAUAUGUGAUGAUGGCUGCUGUUAAUGUUCAAAGUAAAGGGAUUGAGCAUGGAGGCAGAAGCAAAUUUCAUUUGUCCAUGACUAUUCCCAUGUGUCACGGACAAAGGUAGCCUCCACGAUCGCUGAUUUAGUAAGCUUCUGGCACACCAUGGUGGAUUUGUCGUUGUGGUGCUGGUUUGAGAGCAACAGAAUAGGGUGCUCAAACAGGCGCCUCACCGACAAGGUCAUGCACGGCUCCGGCGACGUGGUUCAGCAUCGAUGGUGUAGCUGAACUUGGAUGGCGCGACUCAACAGCAAGGUGGUGCUCCAGCCUCCAUCCCACUUAGCAAGUCCAAACCUCGGCCGCACAAAGGUACAUAGACCAUCCUCCAUCAUGAACAGCAGGGGUCAUGCUCCAGCCAAGCUGCGAAGGUUGUGACAUUCUCUUGUUAUAUCUUGCCGUAAUUCAAACCACGUCGGGAUCCGUCAACUACGAUUACAAACACAAGAAACAUUGAGAAGGCCAUCCGAGAUUGCUUCGAUCACUUCAACAGUACACGCCACAUGAUCCUCUAUUAUGAGGAUAUAAUCAACAACAGCAAUGCAUUAUCCUGGGUGCAAGAGUUCCUCAGAGUUCCGGUGAGGAGGCUGAUGAGCAAAUAGGUGAAAAUUCACAUGAGGCCUCUUCCCGAUCUUAUAAAGAACUGAGAGAAAGUUAGCAACAAACUGAACGGGACAGAGUUUGCCCACUUGAUGGUUUAGAUUUUGUCAAGUGAUGGAGGGCAGGUUAUUGGCAUUUAGAAUUGUGUUCUCAAACAUGCUUUACAAUUCUUUUGGUAGGCAUGCAACAUGUGCUGAUGAAUCAUAGAAAAUUUUCCCAGUUUUCUCCUUUUUAUAUUGUUAUAACCUUAACCCGGUCCCCCUUUGAUAGCUGUAUAGUAGUAAUGCUAAUUUUUUUACUCCUUUUUGCUCACUACAUAUUAGUAAUUUUCCCUUUCUGUAUUGUUAUAGUCUUAAUCAAACUAAAAUCUUUUGCCCUCGCCCGUGAGGGCGCACGCCUGCCACUAGUGUACUUACACAGCUAUGUACUUGUACAAUGUCCAGUUGAGGAAAUAUAAUCAGAAGGAACAGAAAUACAGAACCUUUAA